rnacentral:rRNA from 1 species
GUCCUGGCCCUAAACGAUGAACACUAGGUGUAGGAGGCUUCGACCCCUUCUGCGCCGCCGCUAACGCAUUAAGUGUUCCGCCUGGGGAGUACGGCCGCAAGGUUGAAACUCAAAGAAAUUGACGGGGCCCCCGCACAAGCAGUGGAGCAUGUGGUUUAAUUCGAUGCUACGCGAAAACCUUACCAAGACUUGACUUCCCGGUGUAAGUCUUUAGAAAUAUUGACCCCCUUCGGGCACCGGUGACAGGUGGUGCAUGGUUGUCGU